CCUACGGGUGGCAGCAGUGAGGAAUAUUGGUCAAUGGGCGCGAGCCUGAACCAGCCAAGUAGCGUGAAGGAUGACUGCCCUACGGAUGGUAAACUUCUUUUAUAAGGGAAUAAAGUGAGGCACGUGUGCCUUUUUGUAUGUACUUUAUGAAUAAGGCUCGGCUAACUCCGUGCCAGCAGCCGCGGUAAUACGGAGGUUCCGAGCGUUAUCCGGAUUUAGUGGGUUUAAAGGGAGCGUAGAUGGGUUGUUAAGUCAGUUGUGAAAGUUUGCGGCUCAACCGUAAAAUUGCAAUUGAUACUGGCAGUCUUGAGUACAGUUGAGGUAGGCGGAAUUCGUGGUGUAGCGGUGAAAUGCUUAGAUAUCACGAAGAACUCCGAUGGCGAAGGCAGCUUACUAAACUGCAACUGACAUUGAUGCUCGAAAGUGUGGGUAUCAAACAGGAUUAGAUACCCUUGUAGUC
rnacentral:rRNA from 1 species